CCUGGAAAACAGUUUAAUCUAACAUUUAAAUUAAAUAAUUUGAUUAUUUAUGCAUUUACUUUAUUUUCCCCUAUUUUUAAUAAGUAGCAGACUGUUGCCUGUUUAUGCAGGUUUUACUUACACGUAUUUACUUAGGAAUACACAAACAUGAAAAUUUGGGCCAUUGUUAAUGUUGAAUAUUCAUAUUAAGGUUAAUAACUAACCUUAAUUGAUAAAUAAAUUUGCCUGUAAGUCUUAAUAAUAUUGACCCAGUUUUACGUAUCAGAGUGAUGCGAUAAAAAAUGGCCAACAUCAGCCGGUACAGAUCGAGCAUUACUGUUCUUAUUUUACUACUUUAUUUUUAUACCUUUAUGAUUUUUUUCCCCCAAACAUGUAUUACUUAUUUACUUUACAUCUAAUUUUACGUUUUAUUCUUUAAUGUUUCUUUAUGAAUUAAUAGUAAUGGAACUAAAUUUCUAUAUGAGUUUUUUAACGAGUCUGUUAAUUUUUCUAACUUAUUUUCAGCUUUUAAUCUUUGAAAACACUUUUAGUUGCACCAUGCUGCACAAAAUGAGCCUUAAAUGUUUAUUCAUUGGUUUAUUGAAUGGAGAAAAUGCGUUUUUAAAUUUUGUGGAUAAAUUUAAAAAUGAUUGAUGAUGCUUGUUCUGCCUGAGGUUGGUAAACUGGGCUUUGGUGGUAAACUGGGCCGUGGUGGUAAACUGGGCCGUGGUGGUAAACUGGGCUUUGGUGGUAAACUGGGCCGUGGUGGUAAACUGGGCCUUGGUGGUAAACUGGGCCUUGGUGGUAAACUGGGCCGUGGUGGUAAACUGGGCCGUGGUGGUAAACUGGGCCGUGGUGGUAAACUGGGCCGUGGUGGUAAACUGGGCCGUGGUGGUAAACUGGACCUGGACGGACCCAGAGGCGUCUGUUCUGCAUGAGGCUCAGUAGAAGCAACCUGCGGGUGAAAGUGGCUCCACUAGGUGCUGAUCAGAUGUGCUGUAAACAACUGGAUGUGGUUAAAUUUGGGCGGACUAGCCCUUUAAUCCAGCAUUACAUCACUAACCCCCCCCACCCGUCCCCCAGCCUCUCCGCCCUCCCCCGUGGUGGAGCGCAUGCCGCAGCGGAGCGACACUCCCCCUGAAAACAGCUGCACCUCUGCUCUGGGUUUUACGGUAGCUGGGAUCACGGAGUUUGAGCAGGAGGGGGCGGAGCCUGCACGCUGCUAGUCUGCGGCUGUUGUUGUUGUGAGACGGUGGAGGAAGCCGAGCCGAGCCGAGCCGAGCCGAGCGCGGCAGAACCGGGCUGCGUGACUGCAGAACGCGGCUCUAGGGAAGUGAUGGAAACCUUGAAAAGACGGAACCGACCCACUGAUGCACCGGCAUGGAAGAGCUUCAACCUGCAGAUGGAAACAUCAAGAACCUCCAACCAACGUUUUAACCAACCAAGGUUCAGACCCAACUCCGGAUCACUGAACUGGGUUGGUUCUGCUGGAUCGGCUGCAAAGAAAUGGAACAACUCAGGAAAUGAGCUUUGAGACUGAACAAAGAAACCAAAACUGAGCUGAAAACAUCAAUUAAAAUCUAGAUUUCAGGUGAAACAUUAAACAGAAUCACCUGGAAAUCAUUCAGUCUGAGUUCCUGAGAGGUGAUGGGAGCAGCAUCAUUCAACCUCAUGUUACCAUGGAGACGUGUUGCUGCCAACAUCCAUGAUGACCCAGAGGAGGGAGUGUGUCUCAGAUGAGAGCCAACUUCCUGCACACACACUUCCUGGUUCCCUUCAACCUCAGUCCAAGGAGAAAUUAGAGCGGCUGUUGUCUGAGCCUUGGCCAGCAGGGGGCGUCACAGAACAGAGGAGGAAGAGCUCCGAACUGAUUCUUCUUCUAUUAAUGUCGUUUCUGCUUGGAUUGUUGGAAUACUUUUUAAAAAUCUGACACAAUUUUAUUUUCCAUUUUAUCAGGAAAGUUUUCGAUGUUAAAAUGAUUCAGAGGCUUUUUGAAAAACAUCCUUCAUUGUGUAAUGAAUAAAGACACACUCACAAUAAAGACACACUCACAAUAAAGACACACACACAAUAAAGACACACACACAAUAAAGACACACACACAAUAAAGA